UACGUAGGGUGCAAGCGUUGUUCGGAUUUAUUGGGCGUAAAGCGCGCGCAGGCGGACGAUCAAGUCAGAUGUGAAAUCUCGGAGCUCAACUCCGAAACUGCGUCUGAAACUAGUUGUCUAGAAUCCUGGAGGGGGAAGGAGAAUUUCGCAUGUAGGGGUAAAAUCCGUAGAGAUGCGAAGGAAUAUCAGAGGCGAAGGCGCCUUCCUGGACAGGUAUUGACGCUGAGGCGCGAAAGCGUGGGGAGCAAACAGG
rnacentral:rRNA from 1 species